CCUACGGGUGGCUGCAGUGAGGAAUAUUGGUCAAUGGGCGCAAGCCUGAACCAGCCAAGUCGCGUGAAGGAAGAAGGCCCUACGGUUUGUAAACUUCUUUUAUAGGGGAAUAAAGGUAUGCACGUGUGCCUAGUUGAAUGUACCCUAUGAAUAAGCAUCGGCUAACUCCGUGCCAGCAGCCGCGGUAAUACGGAGGAUACGAGCGUUAUCCGGAUUUAUUGGGUUUAAAGGGUGCGUAUGUGGUUUGUUAAGUCAGUUGUGAAAGUUUGGGGCUCAACCAUAAGAUUGCCGUUGAAACUGGAAGACUUGAGUGUGGUUGAGGUAGGCGGAAUGCGUGGUGUAGCGGUGAAAUGCAUAGAUAUCACGCAGAACUCCGAUUGCGAAGGCAGCUUACUAAGCCACAACUGACACUGAAGCACGAAAGCGUGGGGAUCAAACAGGAUUAGAUACCCGAGUAGUC
rnacentral:rRNA from 1 species